rnacentral:pre_miRNA from 1 species
UAUUAAAAAUUUCAUUCAUUUGUAUUGUUAAAAAUUAGCGUAGUUGACGAAAUGACAAGAUAGUGACAUGAACAUGCCAUAUGUACCUCAUGUUAAUGUAUAGGGAUUAGUUUUUAAUAGCAAAAAUGGAUGGAAUUCUUUAACA